rnacentral:rRNA from 1 species
GACGAACGCUGGCGGCGUGCCUAACACAUGCAAGUCGAACGGAACUGUUUUGAAAGAUUUCUUCGGAAUGAAUUUGAUUUAGUUUAGUGGCGGACGGGUGAGUAACGCGUGAGUAACCUGCCUUCAAGAGGGGGAUAACAUUCUGAAAAGAAUGCUAAUACCGCAUGAUAUAUCGGAACCACAUGGUUUUGAUAUCAAAGAUUUUAUCGCUUGAAGAUGGACUCGCGUCCGAUUAGUUAGUUGGUGAGGUAACGGCUCACCAAGACCGCGAUCGGUAGCCGGACUGAGAGGUUGAACGGCCACAUUGGGACUGAGACACGGCCCAGACUCCUACGGGAGGCAGCAGUGGGGGAUAUUGCGCAAUGGGGGCAACCCUGACGCAGCAACGCCGCGUGAAGGAUGAAGGUUUUCGGAUUGUAAACUUCUUUUAUUAAGGACGAAAC